CCGCCCCGGUACCUCCCCGCGGCAGGGUGGCUGCUGGCGGGCUGCCGAGGAGCCGCCUCUCGCGGGGGCGUCGGGCCGGAGCUCGGCCGCGCUGAGCCUUCGGGGGACGCUGAGCCGCCCCCGGCCGCCAAAGCCUUUCCGGCCGGAGAUACCAAAGUAACCAGCCCCGCACCAAUCCCGGAGCCCAAGCGCAAAAUCCGCCUCUCCCGCUGCCCUCCCGGGGUGUAAAUGGAGAGGCAGAAAGUUGCUCCGAAAUAAGGAUCUCCCGCGGAGCUAUGCCAGUUGCCUGCCAAACACGUUAGAGCCCUCAGAUGCAUAGGCCUGUUGCAAGAUAAUUUCCCAAAAAUCACAAAGUCAUCUGUAUCGGGACGUCUCCACCGCACGUCUGUGUCUUCUGGGACGUCGAACCUCUGUGACCAGAUGAGUGCUUUCUGGAGGUACCACAGGGACUGAAUGGGACCGUUGAUAAUGAUAAAGGAGAAAUGGAGCACUACGUUCUGUGCUGAUUUAUCCUUAUGCUGGCUUCACUGAAACAUCGCUUAAAUUGCUUAUGGCAGCAAAUCAGUUCUGUAUUUGGCCUGACACAUCACUGAUCGGUUCCAGCAACUUUGAGCAUCAUGUAUCCCAACCUUCCUUCACACCUGAGACAUGGGUAAACAAAAGAACUUGAAGUGGGAGGGAUAACUUGCCAGAAGAAAAGAUGAGCAAGCAGAGCGGGUGGAUGUCUGGGUUCCCUCUGUGGUCAGUGGAGAGAAAUGGGAACCUCACCACAGCAAUUGGCUCCACCUCGCAAACGGAGUGGGGUGAAGCGACCUGCCUAGACAAGGCACGCCUUCUGAAUCCCAAGAAUUCGCAGCGGUACGACGGGAGACGGUCAGGCUGCCUGCUCUUCUCUGAUGCUCCUCCUCACAGAAUCAUUUUUCGGCACGAUACCACGUCCCAAAUAUACACCGGCUUCUGGGCAAUUCUGGCACCUCACAUUCAUGUGGCUGCAAUAAGAAAGCUUUUCUUCAGUGACGGGUUAACAAUUUUACGUUGUGAAGAAGCUGGCGAGUGAAGGAACUGAUGAUCAGCCUCAGCAGUUGCCUUUCGAACAGCUUUGCUCCUGGAGAGGGAGACCUAGAGCUGCCCUGAGAGCCUGUGUGCGGGGCUGCUCGGCGGGUCCCACAGGGCAGGAGCGGUGGGCACGGCUGGCAGCGGCCCUCCUGCGGUUCCGUGCUGGUUUGGGAGAGGCUGAGAUGCAGACGGAGCAGGGGCUGCGUGUCUUUCCUUGAAUACAUCCCCGCUGAGCCAGUGGAGGACUACGGCGCUCUUCAGCUCCCCUCCCUCUAAUUCAGGGAACAACAGAAUCGUGAAAUCACAGUAAUGCCGUGGCAAGUACGGACCAGUAUUUAUCCUGUUUGGAUACAGCUCUGCUACCACCGCUCUGAAUAUGAAUGAUCCUAUCCACAAAUUAAACUGAAAGCUUAUCACAGCAAGAAAUACUUGGCGAAGAGUAAUGAUUCAAACAGCAGAGAUUACCCAUGUUGUUCACCCUCCGGAAAAACUCUGCUGAUAAGAGCCGUGAAGGUGCCGUGGUGGAGAUGGAGAGUCUCUUCCCCUGAAUAGUCACAGCAUGAGUCCAAAAAUCAUUUGUAUUGCAGUCACACCGCGCUGAGAUGCUGACGUGCUCGGGAUAUUGCUAUUCACGUUCCCUGUCACAGGCCAUAGUCUACCGCUGCAGUUAUCAAGAAUAACCCUGAACCUAGGAAAGAAAUGGUUUAGGGGCCACUGCUGAAUUAAAAGAGGCAAAAAAGGGUAUACUAUUUUUUAGACCAUUGAUAAAAAGGUCCUGUGAUACAUUAUUUCCCAGAAUAAUCUGGUACCAUUAGUCAGAAAAGUACUAUUAAGUCAGCAAUACAAAUGAACAGCCCAGUGGAAAUGACUUCCUGUGAUCUCUGAACUGGAAGAAGCAUUGGCAGGGGGCAACAGUCAGCUGAUGGCAAAGGAUUAGUCACAAACCCAACCUCCAUGCAGUGUGUUCAGGCGUCCAGAGCUCAUGGCCAUAGCCCUGUGGUUGCCAUGACAGCCCGGAGGCUGCCUGGGGAUUCACCGGCCAGCGAGAGACCCCUCUUCACGCUGGUUGGAAAUGGAGUGCUCAGUGCAAGAUCUCUCGGGUUUCAAGUCAGAUGCAAACACCCACUUCCAUGUUUACAGCAUUGAAAUGAGAAGGUUUUCCUUCUUCAGUCACUUUUUUUUCUGCUCUGCUUUUACAGUAAAUUCUUCAUCAUGGAGUACUCUUCCCAGGGAUACUAUAUACAAAAAAAGCAAUAGAAAUGUCAUUGUUUUCAGAAUAUGUUCGCAUGUGCAGUCAGAUGCUGUUAAGAUCAUGCUCACUUUCCUGGAAAACUUGUUUGCUGUUUGUUUCUGAUGAGCAUAGGGACUGACAACAUCCCUUAAAGACAUAAAAACAACUUCCUUUAAAGUGCGGUUUAUAUUCCUUGCUU